UUUAAGUGAAGAGUUUGAUCCUGGCUCAGAGUGAACGCUGGCGGUAGGCCUAACACAUGCAAGUCGAACGGCAGCACAGGAGAGCUUGCUCUCUGG
rnacentral:rRNA from 1 species